AUCGCUUCUCGGCCUUUUGACUAAAAUCGAGCGUAGUAUCUGUUCUUAUCGGUUUAAUAACUGAUACGUCCCCUACAUGGGGACCAUAUACUAAAUUGACUUUUGGAUUAGGGAGAUGGAAUAGGGGCUUUGCUCCAUCCACUACACGCAUUGACCCAGUAUAGCAGUACCUCCAGAAAUGGUGCACACUCU